CUUUAAGUCAAAAUUGUAAUUUUGUGAAAAUCUUGAAAACUACAAAUCAAGACCUAGUGGUUGGUAAUAUAUGUUCAACAGUUUGUAAGAAACUAUCAAGUCAGUCUUUUUUAAAAAGAGACUGAAAUAUUCCUCAUGUAUUAUAUUUUCAUCUUUGUAUUACUGUGAAUUCAUAUGUUCUCAUGCAUGCCAUGUCAACCAAUUUUCAUGGAUUAGGGGACAGGGAUAUUUUUUGGGAUGCCUGCUUUUGUGAUUUAAAAAAAUCUUCAUACAUUUUUUGUCAUACAAGCUUUAAUAUUUGAAAUUUGUACUUUGUGGAAUACUUAAAUUUAUUGUUUUUUGCCUUCAUAAAAAAAUCAAAUGUAAAUCAGUACCAAUAUAAAUAAUGAACUUAAAGUACAUUUACCAAAUUGUACUAUCAACAUGAUUAAGAAGAAAUGUUAUAACUUA
rnacentral:lncRNA from 1 species